rnacentral:rRNA from 1 species
AACUUUCAAAAACGGAUCUCUUGGUUCUGGCAUCGAUGAAGAACGCAGCGAAAUGCGAUAAGUAAUGUGAAUUGCAGAAUACAGUGAAUCAUCGAAUCUUUGAACGCACAUUGCGCCCGCCAGUAUUCUGGCGGGCAUGCCUGUCCGAACGUCAU